GGAAUAUAGCUCAGUGGUAGUGUUUUUGCACAGCAUGCACAAGGCCCUGGAUUCAAUCCCCAGUGCCA
rnacentral:tRNA from 1 species